rnacentral:lncRNA from 1 species
GGCCAUAUACAUGUAAGUAUAUAUAUAUAUAUAUAUCAAUGUUCAUCAUUUGUGUUGAUAAACAAUAUAAAUUUGAACACGUAAACUCAUUCGAAAGUUCAUAAAUUUUAAUUGAGACGAUCUUAAGCAUAGACAAUUGUCGCGCCCCGAUUUUAUGUUACGCGACCUCUUAGAGUCGCCACUACAUUUUAUGGUUAAAAAUGUAGAAAAAUCUGUAAAGCCCAAUCACAUUGGGCUUUUGGAUUUUUGAUAUCCAAGUUCGGGAGUCGAUUACGAAUUGGGGAAGGUAUUAGCACCCCGUUCGCCCGUAAUAAAACGGUACCCUAACUAAUUGCAUACAUUGAAUACCCUUAAUUUAUUUAAAUUAAAUUGCUUAAACAAAAUAUUUUUUAUAUUUUUAUUUGUGUCUGACAGGUUCAUAUUGCUCCUACGUAUCCCCGGGUGCAAUAGGGAAAUCAAGACUACGUAGUUCUUAAAUUUUUUAAUUUGGUUGGAUUUAAAAAGAAAGUUAAAAAUUGUUUGAAUUUAAUUGAAGUUGAAAUAAUAGACAAAGAGUCAACAUUGAUUGCUUACCAUCUCCUCACUUCGAUAGAUAGCAGAAGCAGUACAAGUGAUCGCGACCGGUUCUCGUCUCGAAAUAAGGAGGAAGAUGCAAUACGAGUCGUAACCUCCACUAUUGAAUUCCAAAAUAAUUAAAACAUUAAUAUUAAUCUUAUUUUUAAAAAAUAGAAUUUAGAAAUUUAUUUGAGUUUAAUUAGAGUGGAAUUAAUAGAUGAAGAGUCAACAUUGAUUGCUUACUUCUUCCUAGUUCGAUAGAUAGCAGAAACAGUACAAAUGAACGCGACCGGUUCUCAGUUCGAAGCGAAGAGAAAGAUGCAAUACGAGUUGUAACCUCGCUAUUAAAUCCCAAAAAUACUUAAAACCAUUUUUUUACUUUUAAAUGACUUACAUAUAUAUUUUUUAAAGGAUGAGAAUUAAUAAAUGACGAGUCGACAUUGGUCGUUAAUCAUCUUCUUACUUUGAAGAAUAAGAGGAGCAGUACAAGUGACCACAACCGAUACUCGAUUUGAAGUAAGAAGUAAGAUAGGACACGAGUCAUAACCUCAUUAUUACCUUCUCAUGAAAAUAAUUUUAUUUAUUAAAAAGACACAACUUUUAGUUUUAAAUGUAUUGUUAUCAAACUCAUUGGACACUAAGUUUAUAUGAUUAAUAAGUAAACAUUAACUUAGUUAGAGUAAGAUUAUGUCCUUAAUAUAACAAAACAAACAACAAUCAAACUAUAACCAAUGAAAAAGCCAAUAAACAAAUAAACAUGGUAUUUAAUUAUUAUGUUCAGCAAAAAAACAAACAAAAAUAAAUGAAUUAAAAAAACUUAAGAGGGAUAACCUCAUAACAUCUCAGAUGGGCCUAUGUUUGUUGAUAAGUCACUUAGGGCCCAAUUAAUUGCCAAAGGAUGCAAAACCUAAUACCUAAAAAGGCAAUAAGCCAUCUGCUUAGAGAUUAUGAGAAGACAAGGAGAAGAAAUCAACCCCAGGGCUGUCGGCACCACUAGUCAGAGGUGUAACACCACUCCCAUAAAAGGAUGAUGAGGCUUGGGCGAUGGAAAUGGCGGAGGAAACUGCACUACCCACGGCGAAAACCAUAGGUUCGUGAGCUCGGGACAACCCGAGUGCAAAGGAGGAUGCCCCGCCCCUGGAUGCGGUUUGGCGAUGGCAGCGGCAUCGUUUAUGGAAAUUGGAAUCGUGGUGUUGAAGUUUUGUGAAAAUGGCUUGACCUCCACCGUUGCCUUGGCUGUUCCCGUCAACAGAUACCAUAGAAGGUAUUGAUGUUUGGCAGCAAAGACAUUUAUUUCCUCUUCAUCUUUGUCUCCUCCAAGUUAAUCCCUAUGGAUGAGUAUCAUCACGUGUUGGUUCAGAGGAACGCAUCGAUAUGCCACCGGAGCGUCUUGCUGGAUCUAUGAGGGACCAUUCUUUUUGGAUGGUGGUUGAGGAAGUCCAGGAUGGGUAUAUAUAUAGGCCAAAAUGAAAACUAGUAUGGUUUUACUAAGCAUAUAUUGUUGGUUAAUCUUUGAACAAUUAGAGGCACUUACUGAAAUAGGAUGAUUUUUCUUUUUUCACUUGCUUAUGCACUGUAUUUUAAAAGCAACACUUUUAUGAUUUAACCCAUUUAUUAGAAUUAUACACUACUUCUACUUCAGCCUAUAGAAAGAUGUUUAUGAAUGCUUAGAAUUAUGAACAUGUAGAGUAAUUGUUUUAGUUUUAUGACAUUCAUGGAAUUGGCAUUAAAACACAUAUAUGUCUAUAAAUAUGUAACAACAUGUAUAUUUUGGGAUAUAUAUCUUGAAUGUAACCAGUGGCUAUAAAGAGAUUAGUGACUAACCUGAAUGAUGCACCAGUGAUUGCUAUAACAAUGUAUUAAUCGCCACUGAUCCUUUAAUUCUUUGUUUGUUGUUGAUUAGAUGUUGCCUUCUAUCUCCUUUAUGGCACCUUCCUGUGUGUUCUGUUUUUCUGCCUAUACUCUUUUCGUUUUUUCUAGUUUUCACUCUGAUGUUUUCUUAUCUCUUUUUUUCGUCCUUCUGUCACUGUUUCUUCCUUUUUCUUUUAAAACUCAUCACAACCCCAAAUAACCUCUAUCCCUAAAAGCUGGG